rnacentral:rRNA from 1 species
CGCGCAGGCGGUCUUGUCCGUCAGGUGUGAAAGCUCGGGGCUCAACCCCGGAAGUGCACUUGAAACAGCAAGACUUGAAUACGAGAGAGGAAAGCGGAAUUCCUGGUGUAGAGGUGAAAUUCGUAGAUAUCAGGAGGAACACCGAUGGCGAAGGCAGCUUUCUGGAUCGAUAUUGACGCUGAGGCGCGAAGGCGUGGGUAGCGAACG